rnacentral:tRNA from 1 species
GGCACUGUGGCUCAAGUGGUAGAGCAUUAGUCUUGAACACAAAGAGGCUCAGGAACAGUGCUU